AUGGUGGGCAUGGGUGGGUG
rnacentral:misc_RNA from 1 species